rnacentral:rRNA from 1 species
GACUUCCUACGGGACGCAGCAGUGGGGAAUAUUGCACAAUGGGGGAAACCCUGAUGCAGCGACGCCGCGUGAGUGAAGAAGUAUUUCGGUAUGUAAAGCUCUAUCAGCAGGGAAGAUAAUGACGGUACCUGACUAAGAAGCUCCGGCUAAAUACGUGCCAGCAGCCGCGGUAAUACGUAGGGGGCAAGCGUUAUCCGGAUUUACUGGGUGUAAAGGGAGCGCAGACGGCUGUGCAAGUCUGGAGUGAAAGGCGGGGGCCCAACCCCCGGACUGCUCUGGAAACUGUAAAGCUGGAGGGCAGGAGG